CCUACGGGGGGCUGCAGUGGGGAAUAUUGGACAAUGGGGGGAACCCUGAUCCAGCCAUGCCGCGUGUGUGAAGAAGGCCCUCGGGUUGUAAAGCACUUUCAGUGAGGAAGAACGCCUGGUGGUUAAUACCCAUCAGGAAAGACAUCACUCACAGAAGAAGCACCGGCUAACUCCGUGCCAGCAGCCGCGGUAAUACGGAGGGUGCGAGCGUUAAUCGGAAUUACUGGGGGUAAAGCGCGCGUAGGUGGCUUGAUAAGCCGGUUGUGAAAGCCCCGGGCUCAACCUGGGAACGGCAUCCGGAACUGUCAAGCUAGAGUGCAGGAGAGGAAGGUAGAAUUCCCGGUGUAGCGGUGAAAUGCGUAGAGAUCGGGAGGAAUACCAGUGGCGAAGGCGGCCUUCUGGACUGACACUGACACUGAGGUGCGAAAGCGUGGGUAGCAAACAGGAUUAGAUACCCGAGUAGUC
rnacentral:rRNA from 1 species